rnacentral:rRNA from 1 species
AGAGUUUGAUCCUGGCUCAGGACGAACGCUGGCGGCGCGCCUAACACAUGCAAGUCGAACGAGCGAGAGAGAGCUUGCUUUCUCAAGCGAGUGGCGAACGGGUGAGUAACGCGUGAGGAACCUGCCUCAAAGAGGGGGACAACAGUUGGAAACGACUGCUAAUACCGCAUAAGCCCACGACCCGGCAUCGGGUAGAGGGAAAAGGAGCAAUCCGCUUUGAGAUGGCCUCGCGUCCGAUUAGCUAGUUGGUGAGGUAACGGCCCACCAAGGCGACGAUUGGUAGCCGGACUGAGAGGUUGAACGGCCACAUUGGGACUGAGACACGGCCCAGACUCCUACGGGAGGCAGCAGUGGGGGAUAUUGCACAAUGGGGGAAACCCUGAUGCAGCGACGCCGCGUGGAGGAAGAAGGUUUUCGGAUUGUAAACUCCUGUCGUUAGGGACGAUAAUGACGGUACCUAACAAGAAAGCACCGGCUAACUACGUGCCAGCAGCCGCGGUAAAACGUAGGGUGCAAGCGUUGUCCGGAAUUACUGGGUGUAAAGGGAGCGCAGGCGGACCGGCAAGUUGGAAGUGAAAACUAUGGGCUCAACCCAUAAAUUGCUUUCAAAACUGCUGGCCUUGAGUAGUGCAGAGGUAGGUGGAAUUCCCGGUGUAGCGGUGGAAUGCGUAGAUAUCGGGAGGAACACCAGUGGCGAAGGCGACCUACUGGGCACCAACUGACGCUGAGGCUCGAAAGCAUGGGUAGCAAACAGAAUUAGAUACCCUGGUAGUCCAUGCCGUAAACGAUGAUUACUAGGUGUUGGAGGAUUGACCCCUUCAGUGCCGCAGUUAACACAAUAAAGUAAUCCACCUGGGGAGUACGACCGCAAGGUUGAAACUCAAAGGAAUUGACGGGGGCCCGCACAAGCAGUGGAUUAUGUGGUUUAAUUCGAAGCAACGCGAAGAACCUUACCAGCACUUGACAUCCGACUAACGAAGUAGAGAUACAUUAGGUGCCCUUCGGGGAAAGUCGAGACAGGUGGUGCAUGGUUGUCGUCAGCUCGUGUCGUGAGAUGUUGGGUUAAGUCCCGCAACGAGCGCAACCCCUGCCAUUAGUUGCUACGCAAGAGCACUCUAAUGGGACCGCUACCGACAAGGUGGAGGAAGGUGGGGACGACGUCAAAUCAUCAUGCCCCUUGUGUGCUGGGCUACACACGUAAUACAAUGGCCAUCAACAAAGAGAAGCAAUACCGCGAGGUGGAGCAAAACUAUAAAAAUGGUCUCAGUUCGGACUGCAGGCUGCAACCCGCCUGCACGAAGUUGGAAUUGCUAGUAAUCGUGGAUCAGCAUGCCACGGUGAAUACGUUCACCGGGUCUUGCACUCACCGCCCGUCA